CCGUGCUAGAUGGGGAGGUUGCGGUGCCCUGUAACCUGCAAUCCGCAAUAGCAGGAUUGAAUUCCUAUUAGAGGUAUGCUUAUGUGAGGCUGCCUUAUGACAGGCGGCGUUGAAGAUUGGGUCCUGCGCAACGUGAACCCAUGAACCUGGUCAGGUCCGGAAGGAAGCAGCCAUAAGUGGAAUUUCGCGUGUGCCGCAGGGGUGCCUGGUUUGAGCCGACUUCAUAAGUAACGCUUGGAUAAGUAUUAUCGAAGAUAGGUGCACGG
rnacentral:SRP_RNA from 1 species